UGGUAGUAUUCCCACAAGUAUUGGCCAAAUUCAGAGUCUACAAGAAGUGUAUUUAUCUGGAAACAAGUUGUCAGGAGAGAAUGCCUUGGAAGGAAGUAUUCCUCCCAUACUUGGAAAUUGUCAGGCUCUGCGACUGCUUAACCUUUCAUACAAUCAGAUUACAGGUACAGAAAUGAUGAAAGCCAAGAUUGAGAUUGAUA